rnacentral:rRNA from 1 species
AUGGACUGCCUCAUCAACACGCCCGAGGACAUGCGGAUCCUGCAGCUGCGUGGCAUCCUUGUCAACCAGAUCAACGGCGAGCAGGAUGCCAGCCGCUUCUUCAGCAGGAUCUGCGCGCGCUACGCUGUGGGCUACUGGCCGGACAACAACUACCUGAAAGAUGUCACGGACAAGGUGAAUAAUUACAGGGGCUCCAGGUUGCACAAGUGGCGCGCCGCGCUUGUGCGCAGCUACUUCAGCAACCCCUGGGUGGCCAUGUCGGUGCUGGCUGCCGUGCUCUUGCUAGGCAUGACCAUCCUGCAGACCACCUUCACAGUCUAUCCCUACUUCAGCGGUUCAGCCCUCCAAAGUAAGAACCUGAAGCAAGAAGCAGCUACUUCCACUAUGUCCAUGGGGUCGGGACAACUGCUUGUACUUUCAUUCCAUCAACAACAUCCAACAGGGCACGGCCGAAUUUCGUUUCUUGUCACUGUAAUUAUAUGUGCAUGUACCAGACAAGGCUGUCCAGUUAUGUGCUCGUCCGCUGGCUGCGUCUAUGUGUAUGAGUAUGAUAGUGUAAAAAAUAAAAAAUUUGAGGGUUGUGUAUGA